GUUUGAGACCAGCCUGACAAACAUGAAGAAACCCUGUCUCUACUAAACAUACAAAAAUUAGCUGGACAUGGUGGCACAUACCUGUAAUCCCAGCUACUUGGGAGGCUGAGACAGGAGAAUCGCUUGAACCCGGGAGGCGGAGGCUGCGGUGGGCUGAGGUUGCGCCAUUGCACUCCAGCCUGGGCAACAAGAGCGAAACUCCGUCUCAAAAAAAAAAAAAAAAAAAACUUCUCCCCUGCAUAAAUUAUGAAACAUUCCAAAAUUACAGCUAAAUUAGAGAAGCAUUGUUUCAGUUCUAAAGGUAAAAUCUAAAUAUCCGAAGUAAAGAACUGAGCUUCAUAAAGGUCUCUUCUGCAAGUUAUCACAGUGAAGCUUGAUAGAAUUUCACUGUAUAUGGAGAGGCUCCAUCUAUUUUACUGUUUUCUUUUUUGUUUUUGUUUUUUUUUCGAGACGGAGUCUCGCUCUGUCGCCCAGGCUGGAGUGCAGUGGUGCAAUCUCAGCUCACUGCAAGCUCCACCUCCCGGGUUCUCGCCAUUCUCCUGCCUCAGCCUCCCGAGUAGCUGGGACUUACAGGCGCCCACCACCACUCCCAGCUAAUUUUUUGUAUUUUUAAUAGAGAUGGGGUUUCACCGUGUUAGCCAGGAUGGUCUCAAUCUCCUGAUCUCGUGAUCCGCCCCCCUCGGCCUCCCAAAGUGCUGGGAUUACAGGCGUGAGCCACUGCGCCCAGCCAAUUUUACUGUAUUUUUAAAUGCCAUGACAUACCUCAAAAUUAUCCUUUUUAUGUUACUAUUUUCUCUUGUUCUUUCAUUAAUUAUUGUCCUUGAUACCAAUUUCUAGGCUAAAUUGGUUACUUUCUUUUAAAAAAUUUAAAAAUAGAUGAAUAACCACUUGUUUCAUGGUACUUAAUUGAGACUUUUUCAAGAUUCCCCUGAUGGCACAUUUGCAGUUGCUUCAAGACUGGAUGAUGUGCAUUGAGUUCUCUGUUCUCCCAACAUGGCUGUUCCUAAAUCAGGAUUCUGGUUUUUUUGAGAUGGACUCUCGCUCUGUUGUCCAAGCUGGAGUGCAGUGGCGUGAUCUCGCUCACCACAACCUCUGCCUCCCGGGUUCAAGCGAUUCUCCUGCCUCAGCCUCCUGAGUAGCCGGGACUACAGGCAUGUGCCACCAUGCCUGGCUAAUUUUUGUAUUUUUAGUAGAGACAGGGUUUCGCUAUGUUGGCCAGGCUGGUCUCGAACUCCUGACCUCGUGAUCUGCCCGCCUCAGCCUCCCAAAGUGCUGGGAUUACAGGCGUGAGCCAGCACGCCCGGCCUAAAUCAGGAUUCUUAACAAUUAAAGUGUAUCUGAAUGAGGAAGGAAACGCUUGUCAUUCUCUAGUCUUACCCAAUUAAUACUGACACCUUUUGAAAUUAAAACCUGAUUUUUUAGUUGUUGGAGCCAGUAGGAAAAAUGGCUGAUUUGAACUUUUUUCCUAUAAAUGAAGUAGUGCUUGCAUGUGUGUACUCUAAUGCACUUUAGUCUAUGAUCUAAAUGUCCUUUUAUGCUAUUAUCUUCUGCAUGCAAACUUUACAUACAUCAGCAUGAAUAUCCAACAUUCACUGAACACAGUGCCACCAGCACUUGUAAUUGCCUUUUCAGAAAUAAUGCUUUCUCAUAAUUGUUUAUAACGAGCAUCAAACUAUCCCCACAAAAUGAUCAAGUUCACCAAACUAGACAAAGAAUCUGUUGUAUCAUUUUAACAUCAUAGAAGAACAUUUAAGACAUGUUUGUAAGUUGUAAAUAAUGACUCCAGUUAUAGCAUAUAUAUCUAAGACGUUAGAGACCAGUUAUUUUCUAGAGUGAAACUGUCUAUUGAUGAUUGAGAAAAUUGAAUUCUUUGGUUUUUACAUGUGGGCAAAUGUUACAUAGGGGUAUAAUCUGUUUAAAUAAGCUUUAUUUAUGCCAAGGAUUUUUUUUUUAAUAUCAAGACUUGGUUAGACCAAAGUUUGCUCUUGCAGGAAUGCCAUUUAUCAGCUUCUGAAUGCCCUUCUAACUCCAUUACCCUCAAGAGUGUCUGGGUAUAGGAUGAAGCAUUACAAAAAGAAAGCACCACUGCAGUCAUGCCUAGUGUCUGGGAGAAACAAAAUGGACUAGACCUGCAGUUUAAAAUAAUUUAACCCGAGAAACUCUUCAAAUGAAUUGUUUCCUAAAGAUGCUCAAAUUUAAGGGAUAAACUCUAAAAUCAGAGCUGCUGUGGUUAAAGUCCCCCACAAACCUUUCCCCAGACACCUCUGCAGAACUCAGGUGCACAAUGUUGAAAACCAUGGAAUUAGACAACUUCCUGAAUUCCCUUUGAGCCUUGCAGCCUCAUUUCGUUACUCCUGUUACUCACGGUGCUUAUAAGCAGGUAACCAUAUGGUCUCUUAGUGAAGCAAAUCACAUCCUUAGCACAUGAUGUUCCUUCUAUGGGUAUCAGAUCUUAAGACUUUUUAAAAUUUAGGAACAAAUGUUUCAAUAUUAUAUUUUCAGUAAUGCAAUCAAAAUAAGCAUAGUUACUGUUUUCUGUACGGCUAAGUACUGCCUAAUGGAUGAAAGAAGUUUGGUGCUUCAAUUAUUUAUGAGCUCAGAACUCAAUUCAUUAAAGUUAUUUUGCCAAGUCAUGCCAAGAUAUAUUGAAAUUUCCACUCAUAUUGGUUUUUAAAAUUUUUUUUAGUCCUAAAAUUAAUAAGUAUGGAAAAUCACUAAAAGCAGUGUAGGAUAAGGUGUGUUUAACUGGCCGGGCACGGUGGCUCAUGCCUGUAAUCCUAGCACUUUGGGAGGCCGAGGCGGGCGGAUCACUUAAGGCCAGGUGUUCGAGACCAUCCUGGCCAACAUGGUGAAACCCCGUCUCUAGUAAAAAUACAAAAAAUAGCUGGGCAUGAUGGUGGGUGCCUGUAAUCCCAGGUACUCGGGAGGCUGAGGCAGGAGAAUCGCUUGAACCCGGGAGGCGGAGGUUGCUGUGAGCUGAGAUGGUGCCACUGCACUCCAGCCUGG
rnacentral:lncRNA from 1 species